UUACACCCUGAGUUCAAGCAUGUUUCACAUGCAUCUAAAGCCCUAGGGUUUAUAACAGAUUCUUGAAGUUUUAGGAAAUUACAUUUAAAUUACUUUUAAACUCUGAAGCGAUUAUACAGUAAUAUAUGUGAAAUAUAUCGAAUUAUUUUAUCACUUAGGUGAACAUUUGUACAUGUCUAUGAUUUAUGCACUUGACUGGAAAUUUCCUUUAUGUCUUUCAUUAUUUUCCAACAUCGAUUUAAUUUUUUUUUACCUUUUACAUGUACAAGGAUUAUUUUGCGAUUGCGACCUGUACAAAUUAAUUGAGACAAAAAAGAAAGUGUUAAAGCACAAACAGUGAAGUACCGCCACCGGUCGACAGGGGCAGCACUUAAAAAAGACGGAAGAAUUGUAAACCGGAAGAUAACGUGUCCUCCCAGAGAGCACUCGGCGUCACACAUUUCAGUGUUUGAAGAGAGGAUCAAGAUACAGAUUUAAGACAAAAGUCAUCAAUUACGAUCGUUUAAAUAGCUUGCCCUUAGCACAGCAUCUCGUGCACAGCAUGAAGUUUUCAGCUAUCAAGGUAUAUUAGGCCUGUGUCUUAGUGUGCAGUGUUUUAACAAUAUUUAAAAUAGUGCUUUUAGUUGUUUUUUUUUAUAUAAUGUAGAUUUCUAGAGGCUCCAGAAUGAAAACCAAGCCCUGCACUGCAAAAAAUGAAAGUCUUGCUUGGUUUUCUUUUGUCUUGUUUUCUAAUAUAAGUAUCUGAAAAUUCUUAAAUUGAGACACUGACUUUGUAAGCAAGUGGCUUAAGAUAUUAAGUUUUGUUUAUUGAAAUAAAUGAUGAAAAUCUGGAGUUUUUUGUUACUUAAAACAAGUAAAAAAAUUGCCUGUGCAGUAAGAAAAAUAAACUAAAUUCCAGUUCUUAACUUAAUCAACUUAAAUUAAGUUUAUUUUUCUUACUGCAUUGGCAGAUAUUUUGACUUGUUUUAAGUAAAAAGAAAUACUCUUGAUUUUUAUCAUUUAUUUCAAUAACAAGACUUAAUAUCUUAAGCCACUUGGUUAACCAGUCAAUGUAUCUCAAUUUGAGAAUUUUUAGAUUUUCAUAUUAGAAAACAAGACAAAAAACUAGGUAAGACAAUCAUUUUUUGCAGUGUGAGGGAGAAGAACCAAGCCCGAGGGAACGUAGUGAACGAGCAGCUUCGGAUGACAGCGGCUUACUUUUAAUGUUGCUUGACAACACUUUGAGGCAGGAUAAAAUGCUCCAGGAACAAUUUCUUUAGAGUAUCUUCUCUAAUCACCUUUCAAUUAAUACAACCUGGACUGGUGUAGGGAAUCAAGCAUGUUUUAGAGACCUGUUUCUGAAGACCAUUGUUCAAAGAGCCAUCCGAAAGAACCCGGCAACCCAGGAUGCCACUGAUGGGGCUGUCCAGGUUAAUGUUACGCGUAACCUGAAAGGAGCAUCUGACCGUGAAGGCAGAUAAAGGCGGCACACAGCUGAGAGGGACCCACAGCUGACCCCUUAAACCGAGGCUGACUACUGACACCUCAGCAUCACUGACAACUGGAACCCUUUCUUUAUCCUGCAGUCAGUAACAUCAAGAAGCCUGAAGUGUGACAGUACACUCAACCAAUCCACACUUCACUGUGAAAAUUACUUUUCUUUUUUUCCAAAUUCCUUGGGACCCUGCCUUGAUGGCAGCUCCUCGGAAAGAUAUGGAAUGGCGAGAAGGUUUGUCCUUAAUACAGAUGCACGAGAUAAAGUACUGAUCAUAAGCGCCUCAUGCUUAUACAUUACAUUCAUGUGGAUCUUUUUUAAUGUCUUUAACUGUUUUUUUUUUAGUCAUGUGGAUUUGUUUUUUUUUUAAUCAUUCUGUUUAUGUUGAUGUGUGUUGUGUUAUAAGCUACUGGGACCUUGAAUUUCCCAUUGAGGAUCAAUAAAGUAUCUGUUCAUUUUUCAUUCACAACUUAGAGACAGAUCAUAUUGCAGCAAAGUAAAAAUAUUGUGUCCCAGGUCAGCAAUGCCAUUAUAAUAGUCUAUUCUAGUCCAGAGCUUUACUCUAAAUGAUUAACACUUAUCCUAUUGUUAGAAAUGACUAUUAUUUGGUAUGCUGGCCAUUCUUUGGUACCAAAUAUCCUCAUUACUUAAUGUUUACUGGUAGCCUAAUUAUUUUCAUCUUAGAGCUGACCUCUAAAUUAUUAACAAUUGUUGUAAAUGUUCUAAUUUGCUUGUAAUGUUUUUUUUUAAACUAGAAUUUAUUUGAAAACCUGUAUGUUCUUUAGUACUUUUUUAUUUUUCAGUUAUUUAUAUUUUAGUGCUCUUACACAUCUUAGUUCAAUGACUGUUAAUGUACUUUGAAAUGUGGAAUAAAAACUCCAAAUGAGAAUUUGUCUGAUUUGAUCAAUCAUUAUUUUUGAUAAACUGCAUACUAGAAAUAGCCUAUAUAAAUAUUAUAUAUAUA